rnacentral:lncRNA from 1 species
GGUGGGUUGAACCUGGUUUUGUGGCAUGCCAAACCUCGCAAUUUGAUGGCAUUGUUAAAUAUAACAUUAAAAUGACAACAUAAUAAUACAGGACUACAAUACAAAUACAUAGCAGAACGUAUUACACAUGAAUAAUAGAUAACAAAAGGCAUCAGGUUUAAAAUUCAUUACGUCAAAAACGCGCCUCGUCCAAACAAGACUUACCAGUGACGCCCAGAUAUAAAAGUUCGAAAGUCAAAAAAAGGGGGACAAAGUUGUACAGCUCUGAGGAUCAAAAGUUGAAAAAGGUUGUGCCAAAUACG